GACGAACGCUGGCGGCGUGCUUAACACAUGCAAGUCGAACGAUGAAGCCCAGCUUGCUGGGUGGAUUAGUGGCGAACGGGUGAGUAACACGUGAGUAACCUGCCCUGGACACUGGGAUAACCCCGAGAAAUCGGAGCUAAUACCGGAUAGGACCUUUCCUCGCAUGAGGUUUGGUGGAAAGUUUUUCGGUUUGGGAUGGACUCGCGGCCUAUCAGCUUGUUGGUGAGGUAAUGGCUCACCAAGGCGUCGACGGGUAGCCGGCCUGAGAGGGUGACCGGCCACACUGGGACUGAGACACGGCCCAGACUCCUACGGGAGGCAGCAGUGGGGAAUAUUGCACAAUGGGCGCAAGCCUGAUGCAGCAACGCCGCGUGCGGGAUGACGGCCUUCGGGUUGUAAACCGCUUUUAGUAGGGAAGAAGCCUUCGGGUGACGGUACCUGCAGAAAAAGGACCGGCUAACUACGUGCCAGCCGCCGCGGUAAUAC
rnacentral:rRNA from 1 species